AUCAGCUUGUUGGUGAGGUAAUGGCUCACCAAGGCGACGACGGGUAGCUGGUCUGAGAGGAUGGCCAGCCACAUUGGGACUGAGACACGGCCCAGACUCCUACGGGAGGCAGCAGUGGGGAAUAUUGCGCAAUGGGCGAAAGCCUGACGCAGCGACGCCGCGUGUGGGAUGAAGGCCUUCGGGUUGUAAACCACUGUCGCGAGGGACGAAUGCCCCGCAAGGGGAGUGACGGUACCUCGAAAGGAAGCACCGGCUAACUACGUGCCAGCAGCCGCGGUAAUACGUAGGGUGCAAGCGUUGUCCGGAAUUAUUGGGCGUAAAGAGCUCGUAGGCGGUUUGUCGCGUCUGCUGUGAAAACGCGAGGCUCAACCUCGCGCCUGCAGUGGGUACGGGCAGACUAGAGUGUGGUAGGGGAGAUUGGAAUUCCUGGUGUAGCGGUGGAAUGCGCAGAUAUCAGGAGGAACACCGAUGGCGAAGGCAGAUCUCUGGGCCAUUACUGACGCUGAGGAGCGAAAGCGUGGGGAGCGAACAGGAUUAGAUACCCUGGUAGUCCACGCCGUAAACGUUGGGAACUAGAUGUGGGGUCCAUUCCACGGAUUCCGUGUCGCAGCUAACGCAUUAAGUUCCCCGCCUGGGGAGUACGG
rnacentral:rRNA from 1 species